AUAACCCCGAGAAAUCGGAGCUAAUACCGGAUAGGACCUUGCACCGCAUGGUGUGGGGUGNAAAGUUUUUCGGUNUGGNAUGGACUCNCGGCCUAUCAGCUUGUUGGUGAGGUAAUGGCUCACCAAGGCGUCGACGGGUAGCCGGCCUGAGAGGGUGACCGGCCNCACUGGGACUGAGACCGGCCCAGACUCCUACGGGAGGCAGCAGUGGGGAAUAUUGCACAAUGGGCGCAAGCCUGAUGCAGCAACGCCGCGUGCGGGAUGCGGCCUUCGGGUUGUAAACCGCUUUUAGUAAGGAAGAAGGGGCUUCGGCCUUGACGGUACUUGCAGAAAAAGGACCGGCUAACUACGUGCCAGCAGCCGCGGUAAUACGUAGGGUCCGAGCGUUGUCCGGAAUUAUUGGGCGUAAAGAGCUCGUAGGCGGUUUGUCGCGUCUGCUGUGAAAUCCCGAGGCUCAACCUCGGGCCUGCAGUGGGUACGGGCAGACUUGAGUGGUGUAGGGGAGACUGGAAUUCCUGGUGUAGCGGUGGAAUGCGCAGAUAUNAGGAGGAACACCGAUGGCGAAGGCAGGUCUCUGGGCACUUACUGACGCUGAGGAGCGA
rnacentral:rRNA from 1 species